GACGAACGCUGGCGACGCGCCUAACACAUGCCAGUCGAACGAGCGAGAGAGAGCUUGCUUUCUCAAGCGAGUGGCGAACGGGUGAGUAACGCGUGAGGAACCUGCCUCAAAGAGGGGGACAACAGUUGGAAACGACUGCUAAUACCGCAUAAGCCCACAGGUCGGCAUCGACCAGAGGGAAAAGGAGCAAUCCGCUUUGAGAUGGCCUCGCGUCCGAUUAGCUAGUUGGUGAGGUAACGGCCCACCAAGGCAACGAUCGGUAGCCGGACUGAGAGGUUGAACGGCCACAUUGGGACUGAGACACGGCCCAGACUCCUACGGGAGGCAGCAGUGGGGAAUAUUGCACAAUGGGGGAAACCCUGAUGCAGCGACGCCGCGUGGAGGAAGAAGGUCUUCGGAUUGUAAACUCCUGUUGUUGAGGAAGAUAAUGACGGUACUCAACAAGGAAGUGACGGCUAACUACGUG
rnacentral:rRNA from 1 species